rnacentral:rRNA from 1 species
AACGAACGCUGGCGGCAUGCCUAACACAUGCAAGUCGAACGAGACCUUCGGGUCUAGUGGCGCACGGGUGCGUAACGCGUGGGAACCUGCCCUUAGGUUCGGAAUAACUCCCUGAAAGGGGUGCUAAUACCGGAUAAUGUCUUCGGACCAAAGAUUUAUCGCCUUUGGAUGGGCCCGCGUUGGAUUAGCUAGUUGGUAGGGUAAAAGCCUACCAAGGCGACGAUCCAUAGCUGGUCUGAGAGGAUGAUCAGCCACACUGGGACUGAGACACGGCCCAGACUCCUACGGGAGGCAGCAGUGGGGAAUAUUGGAUAAUGGGCGAAAGCCUGAUCCAGCAAUGCCGCGUGAGUGAUGAAGGCCUUAGGGUUGUAAAGCUCUUUUACCCGGGAUGAUAAUGACAGUACCGGGAGAAUAAGCUCCGGCUAACUCCGUG